UUAUUGAGGCAACUUCAUUGGAAUAUUUAACAGGCAUCAAGGAGACAUUUGGAUGUUGUGGUAGCUAUUUGGUUAUAAAAUCUCUAUGUUUUGUAACUAAUGCAAGGAAUUAUGGACCAUUUGGGUCUGAGAUUGGAACCCCAUUUUCACUUGUGAUGAAAGAAGGUUGAGCUAUUGUGGGAUUUCACGGGCGUUGUGGAGCGUACCUUGAUGCUAUUGGUGUUUAUUUGCAGAAACUUGCUCCUCCCACUUUAUCAAAGGAACUUGAAGCUAAAAACAUUGAGCCAGAUGAACCUAUGGUUGAAGAAAUUGAAAUUCAUGACGUAUGUUGUGAUUAUUCCCUCGUUUGCUUAAGCACAUCUACUUCUUGAAUUUUCUUCACCUCAUACUUGCACACAAGCACAUAUCCCUUUCAUAAAACUAAUGACUUAAUUGACUCUUCUAGCACCUUAAACAGAAUAAUAACUUUAAAAAAGGGAUGAUCAAAAUCAGGCGAUCAUAAGAAAUAUUAAGAGAAAGGGAAAAUAACAAUAAAUCAAAGCAAAUCGCCAACAAUGGUACCUUGCCUUUUCUUCCUUUACAUGAUAUUGUAUCUAUAUUCAUUCUAUUUCCUUUUCACCGCAAAAUAAUGCUACCAAUAUAGGGAUAAAAAAUUGAUAUUGGAGCCAUUGAUUUAAUUUGCUAUAUAUGUGAAGGGAAAUCAAGUGAGUUAUGAUCAAGCAAACUCAAUAUUGGUGGAGGCAUGGGGGGCAAUACUGGUGGAUCAGAAUGGAAUUACAAGCUGAAAAGUCACAUUAAAGAAAUAUUGAUUGCUCAUGGAGAUGUUAUAGACUCCAUCAUGUUAAGAACCAUUACUGAACAAGGUACUACCAUAGACUCACCAAUGUUUGGCGGGAAUGGAGGUCGAAGAGACAAGGUAAGUCCAGAAAAAUUAUGGUUGACAUAUUUAUUUCUCAUGAUUAGAACAUUCUUCUCAAGUUAAAUUUGUGUCAUGUCAUAGCAAUGAGCUUAAGUUGUGUAAAAAUAACAGUUAAUUAUCAAGACAAUUAAACUAGUUAUAGCAGAUUAUUCAUUUAUUUUACAACCUCCAAGUUACCUUAUUAGGCUCUUGAUAUGAAAAAUCACAUGUUAUAGGUCAACUUAACAUGGCAGUAUAGCAACUUUUUGCAUCAUUUUCUGUGUAUACAACAAAACUUCAUAGUUAUAUAAGCAUCUUUCAAGUUAGCCAGGGGUCUUUCGAAAAUAGUGUUUGCGUACACACUUCCCUGCCCAGACCCCACUUUGUAGGAUUAUUCUGAGUUGUUGUUGUAAGCACCUUUCAAGUUAAGGAUAAGAAUGCACCUAUUGAUUUCGAAUCCUAAUGUGACAUUCUUGCACUUUUCUCUGAAUUUUUGUCAGAAUUCCUGACUCUACUACUUAUUUCACCGAUAUGUGAUUUGCAAUAAUCUCAGGUUGUCAUUAAGGCGCCUCCAUUGGAAUAUUUAACAGGCAUCAAGGGGACAUUUAGACAUUAUGGUAGCCAUUUGGUUAUAAACUCUCUAUGUUUUAUAACUAAUGCAAAGAAUUAUGGACCAUUUGGGUCUGAGGCUGGUGGAACCCCAUUUUCAUUUUGUGAUGAAAGAAGUUGGAGCUAUUGAGGGAUCUCACGGGCGUUGUGGAGAGUACCUUGAUGCUAUUGGUGUUUAUUUGCAUAAACUUACUCCCUCUGCUUCAGCAAAGGAACCUGAAGAUAAAACAAUUAAGCCAAAUGAACCUAUGGUUGAAGAAAUAAUUGAAACCCAUGACGUAUGUUGUGAUUAUUCGCUUGUUUGCUUAAUCACCUCUACUUCCUUAAUUUUCUUCACCACACACUUGCACACAGGCCCAAAUCCCUUUCAUUAAACAAUUAACUUAUGUUACUCUUCUGACACAUUAUAUAGGGAUCAGGAUCGGGUGAUCAUAAGAAAGGGAAAAUAACAAAAAAUGAAAGCAAAUUGCCAACAAUGGUACCUUGCCAUCUCUUCUUUUACAUGACUGUGUCUAUAUUCAUUCUGUUUUUUUGGGGUUUUGGGGGGGGGUUAAUGAAAAAUAAUACUACCAAUAUAGGGAUAAAAUUUGAUAAUGGAGCCAUUGAUUUAAUCUGUUAUGUAUGUG
rnacentral:lncRNA from 1 species